rnacentral:rRNA from 1 species
GAUGAACGCUGGCGGCGUGCCUAAUACAUGCAAGUCGAGCGAACGGACGAGAAGCUUGCUUCUCUGAUGUUAGCGGCGGACGGGUGAGUAACACGUGGAUAACCUACCUAUAAGACUGGGAUAACUUCGGGAAACCGUAGCUAAUACCGGAUAAUAUUUUAAACCGCAUGGUUCAAAAGUGAAAGACGGUCUUGCUGUCACUUAUAGAUGGAUCCGCGCUGCAUUAGCUAGUUGGUAAGGUAACGGCUUACCAAGGCAACGAUGCAUAGCCGACCUGAGAGGGGUGUCCGCCCCCCUUGAACCUAAGCACCGGCCAGACUCCUACGGGAGGGCACAGGAGGGAACCUUCCGCAAAUGGCCAAAACCUUACGGAGCAACCGCGCGGUAGUUGUGAAGGGCCUCCGAUUGGAAAACCCUGUUAUUUGGGAAGAACAUAUGUGUAAGUAACUGUGCACAUCUUGACGGUACCUAAUCAGAAAGCCACGGCUAACUACGUG